GCAGAGUAGAUCAGAAAGCGUUAAGUAUCACCUGAACGGGGAGUUGUCAGGUGGGCGAAAAGAUUUUUCUUGCGGUUUUUUGGUCGCAUCCCGCUGU
rnacentral:ncRNA from 1 species